rnacentral:ncRNA from 1 species
UGACGAAAAAGGCAAACCACUCCGAAAGGGUGGGACGCAAAGCCACUGGCCUGACUCCCGAAAACGGGAAUGGCGGCAAGGCUGCCGGC